GCCCAAGUGUUGGAAUUGGUAGACAAGCAUGGUUGAGGGCCAUGUGCUCAUUAGGGCGUGCAAGUUCAAAUCUUGUCUUGGGUA
rnacentral:tRNA from 1 species